rnacentral:sRNA from 1 species
GGGAUGCUUAUGUCUGUGCUUCAUUGGCGUCAUCUCACAAGGCCCUGAGCUGGCAGGAAAUUGAGGUCUCAAGGGGAAAAGCCACCUGCCCCCAGUGACAACCAGGAAGUGCAAGACUCUGACCCAACCCCCAUGCCUGCCAUCCCCAAACAUGGGCUCAAAACCCCUUCCCAGGGACGGCUGUGUCCACCCCUCAGCAGGAGGAGGAGACCCCACAGCACCGGGUGAGAGGUCAGUGCUGAAGCCAGGGAGGCAGCUCUCAGCUGCCUGUGUGGAGCCAGGGAAGCCAGGGCCACAUUUGCAGGGUGAAGUGGGGAACCCGGAAGGCUGGGAACGGGUGACCAAGGCUACACUGGGAUGAAGGGAGCCAUGGAGCUGCAGGAUCUGCGGGUGGCCCUCAGUGGCAGGCAGCCAGGCCAACAGGGGCUUUGGGCUGCAGGUCAGCCCCUCCCCUGCUCUGGAACUUUUGGAGGGCCAUUACAAAGGACAUCAGCCCCAAGAUACUCCUCUGAAAUUCUGCCUGAAAGGCCCUUCACAUUCCCUAAUUGGCACUUACAACAUUCCAGAACAUUCUAUGGUACCUUAAGUUUCUCCUCCCCCUCCAAGGGGCCCUUGAACCUUAAGGAUAGGGCAGAAGGGGCUCCUCACCCUGGCCUUGAGGGCUUAGGAUCCAGCUGGGGACUCCUAGCCUCCCUGUGUGCUGGGCACGAAAGUAGCUCCUUGUCACUGCUGUCCCUGGGAAAAGAAAAAAGGUUGAGGAAGGGCUCAGAGCCAGCCUUCAGACCAGGCAGGCCUCCUGGACGUACUUACUAACUCUGGGCUAGCUGUUGUCUGAGCUGGCUGGGAGUUCCCCUCUGCACCCCCGUUUCCUCCCCUGUAAGGUGGGAAUAAUAGUGUAUGCCUCUAGGAUUAAGUGAACCAGUCAUGCAUGGGUCGAGAGCCAGGUUUGGCAUAUUGUAGCUGCUCAGUGGACGUUAGCUGUUAUGAUUGGACCACAAUGUGCUUCCGUUUCAAUUCUAUGGGCAUUUUGGAGGUCCUGCUGGAUGCUAAGCACCGAAACCUCAACCCGGAAAAAGACCAGAACAACCUGAGCAACAACAGGACCAGCGAUGGCUCUCCCUGCUGGAGGAUUCCGGAAGCCACCUGGGUGGACCAAGCCCCCUCCGUGUUCUCUGUCAGCGCACUCCCCAGAGCAGCUAGGCCUGAUGUGCACAAGCAGACUAAUAGAGGCUUGAGGACAAAAA